CCAGAAUUCCAUUUAUGAAAGACCACAAGCUCUAUAGACGCUAGAAUCACAGAGAUAUGAAGACAGCAUAGCAAAGCAGUGCUACCAAGUUCCAGUGAGAAAUGGAGCACUGGAUAUGGGCCCACUAAGGAGAGCUAUAGUCAGAUUCGUAAGGCAUCAACAGGAGUCGGCUUGGAGUCUGGAAGACCUUCCUUGAUUAUGCCCUGUCAACACAGUAGUACAUUGCUGGCAGAGACUCUCAGAGAACAGCCAUAGGAAGCUACUGUCUGCAAACAAACCUUGGCAUCAGUAAUGGUGUAUGGCUUUGAUGUCUGCAGAUGGGAUGGAACGCAAGGUAGGGUGGUGGUCCCUUGAUGAUGUUUACUUAACCCUCUUUUCCAUUUUUGUACUACCUUUACUUUAGAUAGGGACAAUUCUGGGUUAAAAAUUUUUUAGAUGGGUGGCUGGCCCCAUCUGUCCACUGGGGGCCAUGUCUAUCUACUGGAGGUGGUCUCUUCAGGUCUUAUGGCACAGAAGAUACCAUAGAGGAUAUUAACACAACAUUCAAAGAAAAUACAAAGUGCAAAAGCCUCCUAACACAAAACAUCCAGGAAAUUUAGGACACAAUGAAAAGACUAAACCUAAGGGCCAGGAAACAUCUUCAAUAACAUCAGAAAAAAAAUCCCCUAACCUAAAGAAAUGGGUGGUCAUAAAAUCAAUAAUUAAAACACUAAAUACACAAAACAAAGAAAUAUUAAAAAUGAUAAGUUCCAAUGGUCAAGUAACAUAUAAAAGCAGACUUAUAAGAAUUCCAUUAGACUUCACAACAAAGACUCUAAAAGCCAGAACAUCUGGACAGAUGUCAUAUGGACCCUAAGAGAACACAAAUGCCAACCGGGCUACAAUAUCUUUUUUUUAA